GGCGAGGGAAGUACACAUCAGCUUGCACCGGGGAUCCCAGGGAGUUGUUUAAAUGCCCGUCCUCGAUUUUCUACAGAAACUAGAAUAAAGGCGACAUUUGUUCUGUUGGCCUCGGAGGAACUGACUGGAACAACUGCGGUAUGAGGAUGUGACAGGGAAGGCGCUCCCGUGCCGUUAGGGAACUGACUGGAGGCUUUCUCCAGCAGAAAAGGUCCAUCUGCCUAUGUACUGCCUAGCAAGUCUGGGGAGUGAGACUGCCCUCCUGGGAAGCAAUAUGCCAUGUACUUCAGCAGGAGCUUCCCCAUGGGACGUCCUGCUCUGCAAGGGCCAGGAUGGGUGCCACAACCUGAGCUACUGCAUUCGUUCUUCUGAAACAGGGAGAGGUCUGAGCCAAAUCUGUCCCUUCACCCACACGGUCUUGUUACAUUGUCAGCGCUGAAUGGGCCCCACUGAAUAUUUGUACCAGCCUCCCUGACAGGGAAGCUUUGAGGUUUCAUGCUGAUUCCUGAAGGCCUGAGCUUGCAGAGCUGACACUGGAGUGAGUUGAUAGGUAUUUGUGUCCCACUGAAAUA